rnacentral:lncRNA from 1 species
AGGGAUUCAUUAUUUAUUUAUUAAUUUUCCUUUGAUAUGCCACAACAGUUAAAAGAACUAAUCAAAUAACCUCAAGAAUACAGUGUUAAAAUUGAAGCUUACAUUUUGUUGACAAUUCUUUGGCGUGAAUCAGGUGGUAGUUGAGCUCUCCAAUCGUUUGUAUCCAUGGUUGGGUUAUUACCCUGAUUAGGUCUCCAAUUAUUGGAAUCCAUCAAAUUCAAAUCACCUGAAGCACCUGAAGACAAAAUGCUAUAAUCAAGUCAGAUAAGGAAACAUGUAAAGGGGGUACAUAUACACACAAAAGACAUUAUAUAAUAUUGUUGCUAUGGGUUGAUAGUAACAAAUACCAUAUAAGCACAAAAAUGAACUACAAGCAUAAAGUUUUGCCAUCUUUAAUCUCUCCAAUUUCCAAAAUCUCAGUGAAUUUCAAGGUUGAACUUUUCAGUUAGGCUUAUAAAAAGAAACUUAUUGAAUAAGUGCUUAAUGUCCAGAUGUGCCCAGCCUCAAUAGUUCCCAAACUAACUUGGCAUCAAUGUGAUAUAAAGAUAAGUCAGCAGUUUUUCUGAACUAGAACUGCACAAAACAGAUAGAUAGAUGACUCUUAGGUCUAUAAAGCUGUAGCGCGUCACCUGUAUUAAUUUCACUAAAUCAUUGUCCAAACAAAAGACUUGUCCUUCAAGGGGAUCUAAAUUUUUCAAGCUUAGCAAGAAAGACAUUCCAUUUGAAGACUAUGAAAGAAAAACAUAGACAAAAUACAAAUCAGUAGAAACAAGAGAUGAAACCUUCUUGUCCAGAUUGGAAAUGCCAAAGAGACAGCAAGUCACAUGACCCUAUACAACAGGAAUAUUUGCAAAAAACUAACAUACCCAAGCACCCUUAAAGGCUUCUUGCUUCACGAAUGGAUAAGGGAAGGUCUUUGUAUGCAACCUUCUUCCCCUUGUAUAUACAAAGUUGAUUUUAGAUUCAAAUCUGUGACUAACUGAUCACACAAGGCAACUUUACAGUUGUGUCGGGACAUAUCCUCAAACAGGAAUAUUUAGAAAUUAUCUAAACCACACCACACCAAACAUUAAAAUUAUGAUAAAUUUUAUUCCUAAAGGAACUGAGUAAAGUUGUUGAAGUGAGUGACCAAAUAUAGAGUAGAUGGACGAUUUGUGUUAAAGAGACAAACAAAUGCUUCACAUGUUACAACUUACAUAUAAUGCUGAAAACUUAGAGCUCAGAAUUGAUAAAUAGAUAACUCCAAAACCAAGAAUAGCACAAUGGUAUCUCAUUUGUUAAGACAAAUAUUGAAUUUCAUCAGAAAAAAUAAAUAAAAAUCCUUCAAAGAUCAACUUGACUCAGUCAAAAGCUAACUGUGGGAUGGAAGGUUGUUGAUUUCUCAUGUUAUACUCUAAUAAAGUCAUAUUCAUCUCAAGAAACUAAAUUCUAGAAAAAAUAACAGAAGACAUAGGUUAUAUAUAUAUAUAUAUAUAUAUAUAUAUAUAUAUAUAUAUAUAUAUAUAUAUAUACUAUNNNNNNNNNNNNNNNNNNNNNNNNNNNNNNNNNNNNNNNNNNNNNNNNNNNNNNNNNNNNNNNNNNNNNNNNNNNNNNNNNNNNNNNNNNNNNNNNNNNNAAUCUACAGCACUCUACAAACAACUCCAGCACACACUCUCCAUUUAUUUCAAAAUAACAAGCAUUACACAAUUCAACACAUACCAGAAAUUCCAAUUCCAUCAUCAUCAUCAUCAUCAAUUACAAAAACUAUCAUUCCAUUGAAAUAAUUCAAGUUCCAAACAAUUCAACUCUUGCACAGAGCAACGUCUUCAAUCAGAAUCACCAGCGAUAAAUUAUUCCACCAAUUCACUAACAUAAUCGAAUAAACAAAAGAAGAAAGCAAUUGAAAGAAGAAACUACGAAAACAGAGAGACGCUACCGUCAUCAGCUAUAACCAAAGGCAGUUAGCAGAGGCGGAGCAAAGACGAGUAGCAGAGCCAGAGAGGAGCCGUCCCUCCGCCGCUCCUCCUCCGAAUCGGAGCUUCCAGAGAACUCAGUCUUCUCCGCCUAAUUCAUCAAAGUUAAUUGCGAAAUCAAUGAACCAAUCAAUCUCACAUAUGAGUAAU